AUGGCCGUGAGGGUCCCCGCUCAGCUCCUGGGGCUCCUGCUGCUCUGGCUCCCAGGUUCCAGAUGUGACAUCCAGAUGACCCAGUCUCCAAGCUCUCAUUCUGCACCUGUAGGAGACACUGUCACCAUCAAUUGCAAGGCCAGUCAGAACAUAGGCAGUGUUUUAGCGUGGUAUCAACAGAAACCUGGGAAGGGGCCUAAACUUCUGAUCUAUGCUGCCAGCAUUCGACACGAUGGGGUCCCAACGAGGUUCAGCGGCAGUGGAUCAGGGCAAGAUUACACUCUCACCAUCAGCAGCCUGCAGCCUGAAGAUGUGGCCACUUAUUACUGCCAACAGGGUAACAGUCUCCCUCUCACAGUGAUACAAGCCAUGACAUAA